GGAGAAGUGGCCGAGUGGUCGAAGGCGCACGACUGGAAAUCGUGUAUACGCUAACCGCGUAUCGAGGGUUCGAAUCCCUCCUUCUCCGCCA
rnacentral:tRNA from 3 species